CCUACGGGCGGCAGCAGUGGGGAAUAUUGCACCAUGGGGGGAACCCUGAUGCAGCAACGCCGCGUGGGUGAAGAAGUACUCCGGUAUGUAAAGCCCUGUCAGCAGGGAAGAAAAAGACGGUAACUGACCCAACAGCCCCGGCUAACUACGUGCCAGCAGCCGCGGGAAUACGUAGGGGGCAAGCUUUAUCCGGAUUUACUGGGUGUAACGGGAGCGUAGACGGCAAGGCAAGUCUGGAGUGAAAGCCCGUGGCCCAACCACGGGACUGUAUUGGAAACUGGGUUGCUGGAGUGCAGGAGGGGUGAGCGGAAUUCCUAGUGUAGCGGUGAAAUGCGUAGAUAUUAGGAGGAACACCGGUGGCGAAGGCGGCUUACUGGACUGUAACUGACGUUGAGGCUCGAAGGCGUGGGGAGCAAACAGGAUUAGAUACCCCAGUAGUC
rnacentral:rRNA from 1 species